CAAAAUGACUAGGUAUUUUUAGUCAUUUUGUAUAUUGCCUGUCAAGGUUAGGUAUUUUAUAAAUUGCUUGAAAUUUCAGUCAUUUUACAAAAUGCCUAAUUUAGAAAAUGCCUGUAACAUAUAUAAUUCUAAUAGAACCAAUACUGUAUUUUUAUAGGUUGAAGCAUACAAAAAUACCAAAGGAUAUUUGGUUGUUCCAGUUCCCGCUAAAUUGUAUAUGUUCCAGUUCCCGCUAAAUUGUAUAUGUUCCAGACCGUAUGAGUAUUUGGAGCGUAUGCGUACAGUCUGGCCGUAUGCAAACUUUUUCAAAAUACUCAUACGGUUGGACUACACGUACAGUCUGACUAAUAUUAAGAAGUUGGUCAAGUUUAUUAAAUACAAAAAAAAAAAAAAAAAAGAAGAUGUGGUAUGAUUGCCAAUGAGACAACUCUCCACAAGAGACCAAAAUAACACAGAAAUUAACAACUAUAGGUCACCGUACUGCUUCAACAAUGAGCAAAGCCCAUAUCACAUAGUCAGCUUUAAAAGGCCCCAAAAUGGCAAUGUAAAACAAUUCAAACAAGAAAACUACCGUUUAUGUAAAAAUUGAACAAAAAACAAAUAUGCAAGUUCAGCAACACAUAAACAAACGACAACCACUGACUAAAUACAGGUUUCUGACUUGGGACAGACACAUACAUACAGAAUGUUAGCAGGAUCCCAACCCUCCCCUUACCUGGGACAGUGGUAUAACAGUACAACAUAAGAACGAACUAUAAAAAUUAGUUGAAAAAGGUUUAUCUCAUCAGAUGGACAAAAAUACAAUUGGACGUGGCCGGGUACUUGUACAUCCCCACAACAAAAAGACAGUAGGUAAAGACCUGAGAGUAGUAGCAGUUAACUGACAGCUAGUUCAAAGCCUCAACAACUAAUGAAAAAUCAUGCAUUUAAGACUUAAUUAUCAAUCCGUUCACAUCCAACAUGCAUAUAAUAGAUCAACAUAACUUACUGUAACUCUCAAAUUAAUAUAAAAAAGUUCAAUUGUAAUUGAAAUAAAAACUUAAUAUUUUAACUAUUUAAUAAAAAAUUCACGCUAAUAAAAUCUGUUAGUCUCUUGUAUUUAGCAUGUCGAUCAGUAAUACAUUAAUUGAACUAUGAUCACUGAAAUUGAAGAUAUCUGAAGUAAACAUAAUGUGGGAGGACAAUUGUUUUAAAAUAUUUAGCAACUUCAUAAAAAAAUGCAAAUGCAAAGGAACAUGCAUGAACUGCAAACAUGUAAAUGUAAAAAAUAUUACUUUAUUUAUACACAACACAAUUUAAGAUUUAUGUUUUAUUAUUAAAAUAUCAAAACAUACUAAAUCUACA
rnacentral:lncRNA from 1 species